CAUCUUGGCAUGAUUGUAAAACCAGUCCAACCAGAUAAUACCUAUAAGCAACUCAUGAAACCAUGAAAAUCCUUAUAUUGCUAUAACCAAAACAAAGUGCACGCGCACGGCGGUUUAGCGCGUAGUGUGUCGGUGCAUUUUAGUAGGUCUCGUGGUGGUGUGUUUUGCGUUGAUGUUGACUUGCCUGCGUGUUUUCUUACGGCGCCGAAGUUCAAUUCGCGCAAAUCCGGCGCUCCCCUGCUGUCAUGGCUUUAGUUUAUCUCGCGUAACCAUUACUUCUAAAGUUCCUGACCCAAGGAUGCGAGUCUUGAAUGUGGCCGAAAAAAAUGAUGCUGCCAAGAAUAUUGCAGAACUCUUGUCGCAAGGGCGGCAUCAGCGACGCGAAGGACUGUCGAAAUACAACAAGAUCUACGAGUUUGAUUACAGAAUUUUCAACAGCACUUGUAGAAUGGUCAUGACGUCUGUGUCGGGACAUUUGUUGAACCUGGAUUUUGUGAGUAGCUACAGGAAAUGGCAUUCAUGUGCUCCGUCAGAGCUCUUUGAUGCUCCAGUUGCAGAGAUGUGCCCCGACCAAAAAUAUGAGCUUAUUAAGCAAACACUGGAAAGGGAAGUAAGGUACUGUGACACACUUAUCAUUUGGACGGACUGUGACCGAGAAGGCGAGAACAUUGGUUUUGAGAUCAUUGGCGUCUGCCGAAAAGUGAAGCCAAAUCUGAGAGUCUACAGAGCCCGGUUCUCUGAAAUCACACCUGCUGCAGUGACACGUGCGGUUGCCAACUUAACUGACCCUGACGCAAGGCUCAAUGCAGCUGUUUGCGUGCGCAGAGAGCUUGAUCUCAGGAUAGGUGCUGCAUUCACUCGGCUGCAAACUCUUCGGCUGAAGCGAGAGUUUCCACAAGAGUUAGGCGACCGUCUUGUCAGCUAUGGUAGCUGUCAGUUUCCUACACUUGGAUUUGUAGUUGAGAGAUAUCGGGCCAUCCUCAACUUUGUUCCAGAGCCUUUCUGGAAAAUUGAAAUGUUUCACUCGAAGGAUGGUAUAAAAGCCGAGUUUUUGUGGAAACGGCAUCGGUUGUUUGACUACCACGUCUGUUUCCUGCUGUAUGAGCGGUGCCUACAUGGGAACCCUCCUCAAGCAAAAGUGAUUGAAGUCAAAAGUAAACCAAAGUCAAAAUGGCGACCACAACCUAUGGACACUGUGGAGCUGGAGAAACUGGCAUCCAGGAAACUCCGUAUGACAGCCAAGGACACUAUGCAAGUGGCGGAAAAGCUCUAUACUGAUGGCUUCAUUAGCUACCCACGUACUGAAACCACCAAGUUUCCAGCUGACCUCAACCUGAGCUCUCUCGUGGAAGCCCAAACACAGGACCCACGUUGGGGAGAUUUUGCACGUCGCCUUUUGCAAGAUGGUUUGACUCCACGGCAGGGCAACAAAACAGACCAGGCUCACCCACCUAUUCAUCCAGUCAAAAGCGCCCUUAACCUGGAGGGUAAUGCUAAAAGAGUGUAUGAGCUUGUGGUGCGCCACUUCCUUGCUUGCCUUUCCAAGGAUGCCGAAGGGAAGGAGACCACUGUGGAAGUAGAUCUCGGUGGUGAACACUUCAUUGCCACUGGCCUUGUCAUAUUUGCCCGAAACUAUUUGGAAGUCUACAUAUAUGACAAAUGGAAUGGAAAGGAAAUUCCAGGGUAUCAGGAAGGGGAGUGUUUUGUUCCAGACACUGUCAAGAUGGCUGAAGGGGAAACAACACCUCCGCCUUUGUUGCGGGAGGCUGAUCUGAUUGCUCUGAUGGAAAAGCAUGGCAUAGGCACUGAUGCAACCCAUGCAGAACACAUUGAGACAGUAAAGAACCGGCUGUAUGUGGCUUUGACAGGUGACGGGUACCUAGUUCCUGGUGAACUUGGCAUGGGAUUGGUUGAAGUUGUAGAAACCACACUCUAUCUGGCUAUAUUACUAUCCGUGAUAAGGACAGUCUGUGCAUGUUUCGGAGGUGAAAAGCAUGGCCCAUGUGUGUUAUGAUUCUAUGGGUCUUGAGAUGUCAAAGCCUCACCUGAGAGCAGAAUUGGAAGCUGACCUUAAGAAAAUAUGUGAAGGCAGAAAAAAUGCUAAAGAUGUACUAAGGCAUCAGGUGAAUCUCUACAGGGAUGUCUUUUACGACUCAGAACGACAGGUAA
rnacentral:misc_RNA from 1 species